rnacentral:sRNA from 1 species
AUAACGAGAUGGGAAGCGGCGUGCUUCCCGUGUAUGAUUGAACCCGCUGGCACUCUGGUGUCGAGGGUUCAUUUUUAU